UGUCUUCAGGGCGGGGUGCAAGUCCCCACCGGCGGUAAUGGCGCUUUGGUUUUGGCGCUUAGUCCGCGAGCUUUGGCAUGAAUCGGUGAGAUUCCGAUACCGACAGUAAAGUCUGGAUGGAAGAAGAU
rnacentral:ncRNA from 1 species